rnacentral:rRNA from 1 species
AGUGAACGCUGGCGGUAGGCCUAACACAUGCAAGUCGAACGGCAGCACAGUAAGCGCUUGCUCUUACGGGUGGCGAGUGGCGGACGGGUGAGGAAUACAUCGGAAUCUACUUUUUCGUGGGGGAUAACGUAGGGAAACUUACGCUAAUACCGCAUACGACCUACGGGUUAAAGCAGGAGAUCUUCGGACCUUGCGCGAUUCAAUGAGCCGAUGUCGGAUUAGCUAGUUGGCGAGGUAACGGCCCACCAAGGCGACGAUCCGUAGCUGGUCUGAGAGGAUGAUCAGCCACACUGGAACUGAGACACGGUCCAGACUCCUACGGGAGGCAGCAGUGGGGAAUAUUGGACAAUGGGCGCAAGCCUGAUCCAGCCACACCGCGUGGGUGAAGAAGGUCUUCGGGUUGUAAAGCCCUGUUGUUGGGAAAGAAAAGCUGCGUAUUAAUACGCCGCUGUUCUGACGGUACCCAAACAAAAAGCAACGGCUAACUUCGUG